GAGGUUGUGGCUCAGUGGUAGAGCACUUGCCUAGCAUGCACAAGGCACUGGGUUCAAUCCUCAGCACCACA
rnacentral:tRNA from 1 species